rnacentral:lncRNA from 1 species
GACCAAUCGGCGACCUCCGCGAUUCCGAGCUGGACCAAUCAGCGGCGGCUGGGAGGCGGGGGCUGUCGCCAUGGCAGCGAGGAGGCGGAGGCGCGCUCAGUGGGCAGAGGUCCAAGGCAAAGCCUUGGGCAGCCGGCUGAGGAGUCAGAUCUGUUCGCGGUAGGCAUCCAGCAGGCGGAGGCUUGCGUGUCGAGACCCCACCAGAAAGAAGAAGCAACCCAGGUUUCCUGGCUCAGGAGAGUGCCUUUGCGAAAAAACCCUGGGUCUCUUGUUUCAGCUCAGUGUUUUAACAGAGCCAAAGAGUCAGUUUGUCAUGAAAAAGCAUUGGACUAGGAGUCAAGAGUAACUCUUCACUAGCUUGGUAUUGUGCAAGUCAUCCUACCUCUCUGGAUCUUAGUUGCUUCAUCUGUAAAAAAGAAGAUAAAAAUUCUUUACCUGCCUGAAGAACCAUUCAGCCCAAAUAAGCAAAAUAAUAAAGAGCCUUAUUGGCUGGGUAUGGCAGUGCUUGCCUGUAAUCCCAGUGUGCAGAAGGCCAAGGCCAGAGGAGCACCGUGAUUUCAAGACCAGCCUGGGCUACAUCAUGAGUUCAAGGCCAGCCUGAG